rnacentral:misc_RNA from 1 species
CACGUGGCUACUAUAUUAUAAUUAGAAAAAGAUAAAAUGAAAAGAAAGAAAUAAAGAAAGGAUGAGGAAGUAGAUCAUUUCUUGUAUGAAAAUAGGAUACUCCAGUCAAUUAUACAACUAUUGAAUUACAGCUCAAAAUUCCAUGAGCUCUCGGCAGAUAAUUUUGGCAGGUGUAGCCCCUCUGCCAAAUUGCAACACGCUGAAAUCUUAAUCCCUCCCUCUUUGUUUAGCAAUGAUUUCCACGACCACUCGACUCCCAAAUUUUUGCUCGCAGUCUCAUACGAAACUCUGAUCACAUCACUAUCAAUCCUAUGCGACACCGCCAAGUCCCAAGAAUUCUUGGCAAAGUCAUAGCAUGGCUCCAAUGCGGUGACUCCUCGGUGCACAUAGCUGUACUUCAACUUGCAAUCCCUGGAACCCAAUUUAUAGCUAGCGGAGAGCUUGUUAGCCGGGUCAAGAACAAGAGUCCCAUCCAAAACCGUUCGAUUUUCGCUUCUAGAGUGAGUGUAAGUCCAAUUCACCUGUUUCUCCAAUACAUUCAGUGUGUUCAUAAACUGAAAGCGGACAUCCUGAUUGGGAACGUCGUAGUCGACUAUAAAGGAGCCAGGCUUCUCGAGAGAAAGAAAGAAGCCAUCUACAUCGACGGCGGACCCAUUGCCAAAGGCGGCGUUGCCAAUGACUGCUCGGAGCCUGACAUCUCCGGCGUUGGCGGUGACAGUUCCGGUGACGCCCUUAUUACCCCUAACGGAGACCGCGCUUCUUAUCAUUUUGUGCGCAUGUAGAGUGGGCUUUUUCAAGGGUUCAUAGGACUGAACGUUUGCAGUGUUGCAGAUGCUGGAGUGUCCACUCCUAUACG